AUUCCAGAAGAAAAACUUGCUCUAUCAGAGUGAGGUAGUAGAUUGUAUAGUUGUGGGGUAGUGAUUUUACCCUGUUUAGGAGAUAACUAUACAAUCUAUUGCCUUCCCUGAGGAGUAGACUUGCUGCAUUGUUUUUA
rnacentral:pre_miRNA from 7 species